GAUGGGGAGUAUCACCAGUGCGUCUGAAGCAUUUCAGCACAAAGCCAAACCAACGUGGCGUUCCACUCCAUUAAGUUUAUCAAAUUACCUAGAAUUUUCCGCCGUUCGCGAAGAAAGCUCGCAUCCCGACAAUGUCCUGUUCGAUUAGAUUGGCAGAUGGACCAUGUUUACUCCCCGACCCAUUAAUAGCUUGGAUCCUGAUAAAUGAGCCAUGGAAAAGCAAGAAGUGGAAUCUGAAGGUUUCAAAAGCUUCUGUUAUAACACUUGCGUUAUCUUCUCCAUGGAAACAGAAGACGGGAACCGCACCUUGCUGAAUACGAACUGGAUUAGCCUUGAUUGUGCGUUACCAGUGACAACAUAGACCACGCAAUACAGCAGGACUAAGCAAGCCGGGCUCAUAAAAAGCCAAAGUGGGAAAUGUUUAAAUUGAUGUCUGGUGCAGCGUGAGAUGAAGAUGGGGAUGUUCUGUGGCCACAUUUAAUAUUGAAAGGACAGAUUUUUUCCUUCCCUCUUGCAGCAUCCAGUUGUUGCCCACGUUUUUCAAGCUGAUAAUUCUUAUAAAAGGGUUCCAUGAUAAUAAUGCAUUUGCACGACAUGGGAGCAAGCUGUCAGUGAAGACUCCAAGACUCCACCCAAAGUAGCUGAGGGCUAAAGUUUGCUCCUGUUAGAUUAUAGCCAGAAGUUCCUAGUUUACGCUUUUGUCUUGGCGAUCCUGAGCAGGCGGCCUUAACCUAAUCUAAAUGUCUAUGGAGAUUCUCAGUUGUCCAGGUCAUAGUUGUCCCAAAGGUGCUUUUUUCAAGAGGCAACUGGACGUUCUGGUUUUUUUCUUCUUUAAAGACAUUUUGCUUCAGAGCUGAAGAAGCUUCUUGGAUGAGAAGCAAAACACCUUCAAAAGAAAAAAACCCAAGGAAGUCCAGUUGCAAAAAGCACUUUUGGGGUCAACCUAAUCUACUUCACUGUGUUGCUGUGAUGGAGAAAGCAAUGAGGUCCAUUCUAACUCCCGGAAAGAAAACCAGAACAAAAUUAAGUGUGCGAACGGAGGAUGGGGCACAGGGUGAUGUCAAUGUCCUCCAAAUCUUACAAUCCUCAUGAAUUAAAGGUUCCCCUCGCACAUACGUGCUAGUCGUUGCCGACUCUAGGGGGCGGUGCUCAUCUCCGUUUCAAAGCCGAAGAGCCAGCGCUGUCCGAAGACGUCUCCGUAGUCAUGUGGCCGGCAUGACUCAACGCCAAAGGGGCAUGGAACGCUGUUACCUUCCCACCAAAGAUGGUCCCUAUUUUUUCUUCUUGCAUUUUUAGGUGCUUUCGAAACUGCUAGGUUGGCAGAAGCUGGGACAAGUCACAGAAGCUCACCCCGUUACACAGCAGCACUAGGGAUUCGAACUGCCGAGCUGCCGACCUUUCGAUCGACAAGCUCAACGUCCUAGCCCCUGAGCCACCGUGUCCCUUUUCCUCAUGAAUUAGGGAUGCCUUAUUCUACCCUGCAGACUGCAGCCUAGAAGGAAAGGCAACAAUGCUUUACAGCAGAGGGCUCCAAAUCUUGGCAAAUUUAAGACUUGUGGACUCGUGGACUUCAACUCCCAGCACUCUGCUGGGUGGGGAAUUAUGGGAAUUGAGCCUCUGUGGCUCAGACUGCUAAUGCAGUCUGUUAUUAACAGCAGCUGCCUGCAAUUAUUGCAGGUUCUAGACCCACCAGGCCCAAGUUGACUCAGCCUUCCAUCCUUUAUAAGGUAGGUAAAAUGAGGACCCAGAUUAUUGGGGGCAAUAAGUUGACUUUGUAUAUAAAUAUACAAAUUGAAUGAAGACUAUUGCUAACAUAGUGUAAGCUGCCCUGAGUCUUCGGAGAAGGGUGGGAUAUAAAUGCAAAUAAAAAAAAAAAGUCCACGUGUCUUAAAGUUGCCAAGGUUUCUUCUAUACAGGUUUUUCUGGCAGUAUUGUUUGGUUAUCCCUGUAAACAAUUCUCAGAUCUAGGUGAUCAUAACAUUGGGGGAGGCAGAGCAGGGGAGGAAAUUAAUGGCUUAUGUUUUUUUAAUUCCUUCCAGGUGAUAAACCACCAUUCUCUGUAAGCAAGCCGUUGGCUAAUGAAAAACGUUGUGGGAUAUCGCUGCUAAGGAAGGAGAGCCUUUAUCCAAACUUUUAAUAACUCUCGGUGCUUAAUUGCGCCAAUGAUGUCAAGAAAACCUGGAGUAUGCAAAGAUAAGCUCCCAGCGAUUACCCAUUGAGUCCAUUUUUAUUGUCCCUUGAUUGUGUUUGCCCUGACAAAAACAAACAUAUGGAGGAGUGAACGAUGGCUGAAGAAACCCCGAAUAGGAGGAAUAUUAGCAAAUGUGCUGAAGCCCAUUAGGGGGAAAUUGAGCUGAAAUGCCAUCUGGGAGAGCUGCCAGCUGGGUGUCUCGUCAACAGCGGUUGGAGUGCUGACCCAAAAGCGUAACGAAGAAGGUAUCGGUCCAUCUGACCAGUGUGGGUGAAGGACUGUUGUGACUGGGAGAACUUCCAAUGCCGAUUCCACAAAUCACUUCAGAUGGACCAAGGAAGUGAGGAUCAUCCAAUUCUAUAUAUUUGCCAGGUUGUGACCGAUAUUGUGGAGAUAGUGUGAUUAUGCACGGAACUGUCACACGUGUUUCUGCUCACUUAAGGGCUGAAGAAUCCAUCACGGGCUGAAACCCUGUUGUAUUUUCUUUCAUAAUUGUAACACCCCUCUCCCCAGGCACCUGCUGUGUGGCUAUUUUUAUUGCCCACUGUGUUGUCAUGCACCUGUUGUAGCUGAAUCGCCUGGCCAGGUUUCAUUGCCUUUUGCUAAUGACAUCUCUAUCCGUAUCAUGUCUUGGAUAGCCACGAUCCUAAACAGCUGUUUUAUCUGCUCAAUGUAAACGGUGAUGGGAAAUGUAAGGUUCUUUGUAGGAGAGAAGCCGCAUUGAUGGAUUGUAAGCCAGAAAACUUUUUUAAUAUUUGCAGAAAUACAAAUGCACACGCACCACAGG